rnacentral:rRNA from 1 species
AUGGACAAGAAUAUGCAGCGAGAGCGAGAGGUGAUGGACAAGAAUCUGAAGCAGGAGCGGGCAACCGUGGACCGCAUGAGGAAGGAGGAGCGUGCAGCCGUGGAACAGAUGAUGACUGAGGAGCGUGCAGCCAUGGAUAAGAGGUUGAAGCAUUUCCAUGACGAUAUGGACCUAAAGUUGAAGCAGGAGCGCUAG